rnacentral:rRNA from 1 species
UACAGAGGAUGCAAGCGUUAUCCGGAAUUAUUGGGCGUAAAGCGUCUGUAGGUGGCUUUUUAAGUCCGCCGUCAAAUCCCAGGGCUCAACUCUGGACAGGCGGUGGAAACUACCAAGCUGGAGUACGGUAGGGGCAGAGGGAAUUUCCGGUGGAGCGGUGAAAUGCGUAGAGAUCGGAAAGAACACCAGCGGCGAAAGCGCUCUGCUGGGCCGACACUGACACUGAGAGACGAAAGCGAGGGGAGCGAAUGGG